CAGUAGCCGCGGUAAUACGAAGGGGGCUAGCGUUGUUCGGAAUUACUGGGCGUAAAGCGCGUGUAGGCGGGCUUUUAAGUCAGGGGUGAAAUGCCAAGGCUCAACCUUGGAACUGCCUUUGAUACUGGAAGUCUUGAGUCCGGGAGAGGUGAGUGGAACUGCGAGUGUAGAGGUGAAAUUCGUAGAUAUUCGCAAGAACACCAGUGGCGAAGGCGGCUCACUGGCCCGGAACUGACGCUGAGACGCGAAAGCGUGGGGAGCAACCAGGAUUAGAUACCCGCGUAGUCCCUGUCUCUUAUAA
rnacentral:rRNA from 1 species